UUUCCGUAGGUGAACCUGCGGAAGGAUCAUUAUUGUAUAACCGAGGUGCGAGGGCUGUCGCUGACCCGAAAGGUCGUGCACGCCCGAGUGCCCUCACACACAUUCAUCUCACCCCUGUGUGCACCACCGCGUGGGUCCCCCUUUGGCUUGUUCGGAGGGGGGCUUACGUUUUCACACAAACUUUGUAUGCAGUGUAGAAUGUAUUUUUUGUUUUUGCGAUCACGCAAUCAAUACAACUUUCAACAACGGAUCUCUUGGCUCUC
rnacentral:misc_RNA from 1 species